rnacentral:miRNA from 1 species
AAAGAGGUCUAUUUUUGCACACAG